AGUAGAAUUGCUGGGUUAUAUGGUAACCCUCUUUUUAACUUUUUGAGGAGUUGUCAAACUAUUUUCCAUAGCAACUGUACUAUUUUACAUUCCCACCAGCAUU
rnacentral:pre_miRNA from 1 species